rnacentral:rRNA from 1 species
UAAGACGAACCGUGCGAACGUUGUUCGGAAUCACUGGGCUUAAAGGGCGCGUAGGCGGGUCAGCAAGUCCGGGGUGAAAUCUUUCGGCUCAACCGGAAAAGUGCCUUGGAUACUGCUGGUCUCGAGGGAGGUAGGGGUCUGUGGAACUUCUGGUGGAGCGGUGAAAUGCGUUGAUAUCAGAAGGAACGCCGGUGGCGAAAGCGACGGACUGGACCUCUUCUGACGCUGAGGCGCGAAAGCUAGGGGAGCAAACGGGAUUAGAUACCCCGGUAGUCCUAGCCCUAAACGAUGAAUACUAGGUUGUGGACUUGACAUGGGUUCACAGCCGAAGCAAAAGUGCUAAGUAUUCCGCCUGGGGAGUAUGGUCGCAAGGCUG